rnacentral:rRNA from 1 species
CCUACGGGUGGCAGUAGUGAGGAAUAUUGGUCAAUGGACGAGAGUCUGAACCAGCCAAGUAGCGUGAAGGAUGACUGCCCUAUGGGUUGUAAACUUCUUUUAUAUGGGAAUAAAAUGUUCCACGUGUGGGCUUUUGUAUGUACCAUAUGAAUAAGGAUCGGCUAACUCCGUGCCAGCAGCCGCGGUAAUAAGGAGGAUCCGAGCGUUAUCCGGUUUUUUUGGGUUUAAAGGGAGCGUAGGUGGAUUGUUAAGUCAGUUGUGAAAGUUUGCGGCUCAACCGUAAAAUUGCAGUUGAAACUGGCAGUCUUGAGUACAGUAGAGGUGGGCGGAAUUCGUGGUGUAGCGGUGAAAUGCUUAGAUAUCACGAAGAACUCCGAUUGCGAAGGCAGCUCACUGGACUGCAACUGACACUGAGGCUCGAAAGUGUGGGUAUCAAACAGGAUUAGAUACCCCAGUAGUC